UACAGAGGUCUCAAGCGUUGUUCGGAUUCAUUGGGCGUAAAGGGUGUGUAGGUGGCGCGGUAAGUCGGGUGUGAAAUCUCGGAGCUUAACUCCGAAACUGCAUUCGAUACUGCCGUGCUUGAGGACUGGAGAGGAGACUGGAAUUUACGGUGUAGCGGUGAAAUGCGCAGAUAUCAGGAGGAACACCAAUGGCGAAGGCAGCACUCUGGGACGUGACUGACGCUGAGACGCGAAAGCGUGGGGAGCAAACAGG
rnacentral:rRNA from 1 species